UACGUAGGGUGCAAGCGUUGUCCGGAAUUAUUGGGCGUAAAGAGCUCGUAGGCGGCUUGUCACGUCGGCUGUGAAAACCCGGGGCUCAACCCCGGGCCUGCAGUCGAUACGGGCUAGCUAGAGUUCGGCAGGGGAGACUGGAAUUCCUGGUGUAGCGGUGAAAUGCGCAGAUAUCAGGAGGAACACCGGUGGCGAAGGCGGGUCUCUGGGCCGAUACUGACGCUGAGGAGCGAAAGCGUGGGGAGCGAACAGG
rnacentral:rRNA from 1 species